rnacentral:rRNA from 1 species
UACGUAGGGGGCAAGCGUUGUCCGGAAUCAUUGGGCGUAGAGAGCGUGUAGGCGGCUCGGUAAGUCCGCUGUGAAAGUCCAGGGCUCAACCCUGGAAUGCCGGUGGAAACUGUCGAGCUAGAGUCCGGAAGAGGCGAGUGGAAUUCCUGGUGUAGCGGUGAAAUGCGCAGAUAUCAGGAGGAACACCAAUGGCGAAGGCAGCUCGCUGGGACGGUACUGACGCUGAGACGCGAAAGCGUGGGGAGCAAACAGG